AUUGAACGCUGGCGGCAUGCUUUACACAUGCAAGUCGAACGGUAACAGGCCGCAAGGUGCUGACGAGUGGCGAACGGGUGAGUAAUGCAUCGGAACGUGCCCAGUCGUGGGGGAUAACGCAGCGAAAGCUGCGCUAAUACCGCAUACGAUCUAUGGAUGAAAGCGGGGGACCGUAAGGCCUCGCGCGAUUGGAGCGGCCGAUGUCAGAUUAGGUAGUUGGUGGGGUAAAGGCUCACCAAGCCAACGAUCUGUAGCUGGUCUGAGAGGACGACCAGCCACACUGGGACUAGGACACGGCCCAGACUCCAACGGGAGGAAGCAGUGGGGAAUUUUGGACAAUGGGCGCAAGCCUGAUCCAGCAAUGCCGCGUGCAGGAAGAAGGCCUUCGGGUUGUAAACUGCUUUUGUACGGAACGAAACGGUCCUGGUUAAUACCCGGGGCUAAUGACGGUACCGUAAGAAUAAGCACCGGCUAACUACGUGCCAGCAGCCGCGGUAACAC
rnacentral:rRNA from 1 species